UAUGGAGGUAGAUUUGUGUCUUUAUUAUGCAAUCAAAAAUAAUAGGUUUGAGAGCAAAACUUUCCACACUGCAAUCAAAAAAUUGAUUUGAGAGCAAAACUAUCGACACUGCAAUCAAAAAAUGUUUUAUUGCAAGAUAAAUUAAUGUGAUAAAAAAAAUAUUAAUGGGAAUCCAAAAGUUUUGUUUGCAAACCCAAAAGUUUUGUUUGCAAAUCCAAAAGUUUUGUUUGCGAAUCCAAAAGUUUUGUUUGCGAAUCAAAAAGCUUUGUUUGCGAAUCCUAAAGUUUUGCUUGCGAAUCCAAAAGCUUUGCUUGCUGUUGAGCUGAAUCUCGUGGGCGGGACCUACGCCGAAAGAUGUAAGACACGUCUCUAUUGGCCAGUCUCGAUCGGAGUGACAGCUUGGCAACAUCCGAAAAGCCGCUGCCCCCCGACCGCCUCCAGAAGCAGAUUGUCGGCCUGACGGACAGGGUGUUCGUUUGUGCCUCUCAAUCCACGGCGAAGGUCAACAACAUCGCCCUGCUCUCCUCUGCCAUGGUCUCCUUGUUGGCUGACAGGGAGGCCUACGGAAUUUUCAGGGCGCGCAAGCGCGCGCACGGGACAAGCCCAUAAGGCAAAGCCUAGACGGCGUAGCCUACAUGAAAUAGAACUCCCUCUCUCGUUACUAACUGUGGAUGUUGCCAAGCUGUCACUCCGAUCGAGACUGGCCAAUAGAGACGUGUCUUACAUCUUUCAGCGUAGGUCCCGCCCACGAGAUUCAGCUCAACAGCAAGCAAAGCUUUUGGAUUCGCAAGCAAAACUUUAGGAUUCGCAAACAAAGCUUUUUGAUUCGCAAACAAAACUUUUGGAUUCGCAAACAAAACUUUUGGAUUCCCAUUAAUAAUUUUUUUAUCACAUUAAUUUAUCUUGCAAUAAAACAUUUUUUGAUUGCAGUGUCGAUAGUUUUGCUCUCAAAUCUAUUUUUUGAUUGCAGUGUGGAAAGUUUUGCUCUCAAACCUAUUAUUUUUGAUUGCAUAAUAAAGACACAAAUCUACCUCCAUAA